CAUGCCGCGGAGCAACUAAGCCCGUGUGCCACAACAACUAAGCCUGUGUGCCACAACUACUGAGCCUGAGCUCUAAAGCCCGCAAGCCACAACUACUGAGCCCACAUGCCACAACUACUGAAGCCUGUGCACCUAUAGCCUGUGCUCUGCAACAAGAGAAGCCACGACAAUGAGAAGCCCGUGCAGCUCAACGAAGAGUAGCCCCCACUCUGCAACAAGAGAAGCCACUGCAAUGAGAAGCCCGUGCACCGCAACAAAGAGUAGCCCCUGCUCGCCACAACUCGAGAAAGCCCACGUGCAGCAACGAAGACCCA